UUACGGCCACAUCACGUUGAAACAUCGGUCCCCGUACGAUCACCGAACCGAAGUUAAGCAACGUCGAGCCUGGUCAGCACCUAGAUUUGUGAUCGCUUGAGAAUACCAAGUGCUGUAAG